UACGAAGGGGGCAUGCGUUGUUCGGAAUUACUGGGCGUAAAGGGCGCGCAGGCGGCCCUUGAAGUCAGGUGUGAAAGCCCCGGGCUCAACCUGGGAACGGCGAUGGAUACUGGCGGGCUAGAGUGCGGUAGAGGGUGGUGGAAUUCCCGGUGUAGCAGUGAAAUGCGUAGAGAUCGGGAGGAACAUCAGUGGCGAAGGCGGCCACCUGGACCAGCACUGACACUGAGGCACGAAAACGUGGGGAGCAAACAGG
rnacentral:rRNA from 1 species